GACGAACGCUGGCGGCGUGCUUAACACAUGCAAGUCGAACGAAGUGGCGAACGGGUGAGUAACGCGUAAUCAACCUGCCCUUCAGAGGGGGAAAACAGUUGGAAACGACUGCUAAUACCGCAUAAUGAAGGAGGGGAUUGCGUCUGAUUAGCUUGUUGGGGGGGUAACGGCCCACCAAGGCGAUGAUCAGUAGCCGGGCUGAGAGGAUGAACGGCCACAUUGGGACUGGGACACGGCCCAUACUUCUACCGGGAGCAGCAGUGGGGAAUCUUCCGCAAUGGGCGAAAGUCUGACGGAGCAACGCCGCGGGAGUGAUGACGGCCUUCGGGUUGUAAAGCUCUGUUAAUCGGGACGCGGUACCGGAAUAGAAAGCCACGGCUAACUACGUGCCAGCAGCCGCGGUAAUUC
rnacentral:rRNA from 1 species